UCAAUAAGCGGAGGAAAAGAAACUAACAAGGAUUCCCCUAGUAACGGCGAGUGAAGAGGGAAAAGCUCAAAUUUUGAAUCUGGUGUCUUUGGCGCCCGAGUUGUAAUCUAGAGAAGUGUUUUCCGCGUCGGACCGUGUACAAGUUCCCUGGAACGGGGUGUCAUAGAGGGUGAGAAUCCCGUAUAUGCCACGGACUACCGAUGCUCUGUGAUACACUCUCAACGAGUCGAGUUGUUUGGGAAUGCAGCUCAAAAUGGGUGGUAAAUUCCAUCUAAAGCUAAAUAUUGGCGAGAGACCGAUAGCGAACAAGUACCGUGAGGGAAAGAUGAAAAGCACUUUGGAAAGAGAGUGAAACAGUACGUGAAAUUGUUGAAAGGGAAGCGUUUGAAGUCAGUCAUAUCUGGCGGGAUUCAGCCUGGCUUCUGCCUGGUGUACUUUCCGUCCGAUGGGUCAGCAUCAAUUUUGACCGAGGGAAAAAGACGUUUGGAAUGUGGCUGUCUUCGGGCAGUGUUAUAGCCUCGCGUUGUAUGUCUCGGUUGGGAUUGAGGAAUGCAGCGCGCCUAUUGGCCGGGGGCUAACGCCUCUCGACACGCGCUUAGGAUGCUGGCAUAAUGGCUUUAAGCGACCCGUCUUGAAACACGGACCAAGGAGUCUAACAUGUGCGCAAGUGUUUGGGUGUCAAACCCGAGCGCGAAAUGAAAGUGAAAGGUCGGGAUCCUUCAUUGGUGCACCGACGCCCGGAGCAGACCUUUUGUGACGCAUCCGCGGUAGAGCGUAUAUGUUGGGACCCGAAAGAUGGUGAACUAUGCCUGAAUAGGGUGAAGCCAGAGGAAACUCUGGUGGAGGCUCGUAGCGAUUCUGACGUGCAAAUCGAUCGUCAAAUUUGGGUAUAGGGGCGAAAGAC
rnacentral:rRNA from 1 species